AACGAACGCUGGCGGCGUGCCUAACACAUGCAAGUCGUGCGAGAAAGUUCCUUCGGGAGCGAGUAAAGCGGCGCACGGGUGAGUAACACGUAGGUAACCUGCCCCCCAGUCUGGAACAACUAGAGGAAACUCUAGCUAAUGCCGGAUGAGACCACGAUCCCUUCGGGGGUUGCGGCCAAAGAUGGCCUCUACUUGUAAGCUAUCGCUGAGGGAUGGGCCUGCGGGCCAUUAGCUUGUUGGUGAGGUAACGGCUCACCAAGGCUGUGAUGGCUAGCUGGUCUGAGAGGAUGACCAGCCACACUGGGACUGAGACACGGCCCAGACUCCUACGGAGGCAGCAGUGGGGAAUAUUGCGCAAUGGGCGAAAGCCUGACGCAGCGACGCCGCGUGGGUGAUGAAGGCCUCGGUC
rnacentral:rRNA from 1 species